UACGGAGGAGGCAAGCGUUAUCCGGAAUCAUUGGGCGUAAAGCGCGUGUAGGCGGUCCGGUAAGUCCGCUGUGAAAGUCGGGGGGCUCAACCCUCGAAUGCCGGUGGAUACUGUCGGGCUAGAGUGCGGAAGAGGCGAGUGGAAUUCCCGGUGUAGCGGUGAAAUGCGCAGAUAUCGGGAGGAACACCAAUGGCGAAGGCAGCUCGCUGGGACGUGACUGACGCUGAGACGCGAAAGCGUGGGGAGCAAACAGG
rnacentral:rRNA from 1 species